GAGGGUAUAGCUCAAGUGGUAGAGCGCAUGCUUAGCAUGCAUAAGGUCCUGGGUUCCAUCCCCAGUAUCUCCU
rnacentral:tRNA from 1 species